CCAGGUUUUAUACAUGGAUGGGUUAAUAGCUGGAUUGCAAUAAUUUUGUUUGCUGGCAAACAGAUGUAAUUUGUAGAAUAUCAAAACAAAUUGGUAUGUUGGAUUCCAGAGUUUCUUUGAUGUGACCCUUUCCAAAACGAAAUCCUGCAACUGCUACCAAAAACUAAAGUGAAAGAAAUGAAAAUCAAGCAACAACUGUGCAAACAAACAGAGCCAAAUGAGAAAAAUCAAAAAAAGAAAAAGAAAGAAAAAAAUGAGGGAUGGCUGUAAAAACAUUGUUUUCCUGUCAAAAGGAAAGGAGCAACAUUCCACACAUAAUAAAAAUAAUCUCUGUGUUGCUUAAAAGGGCAUCAAUGCAGGGCUUGGCAUUUGCAAGGAAAGUGUCUCAUUUCCAUCAACAAGGCAAGCUCCUAAUUCACAAAUGUACACAGUGGGUGACGCGAGUUAAUAGCACUCUUAGCAUCCGAUAAUGUGGUGCAGUUAAUGUAUCUCAGCUUGAAUUAACUUUACCACAAGCCAUUGUUUCCUUUUUAUACAGCACAAGGUCCUGUGGAAAAAUCUCUUCCAAUCUCACACGGGGAAUUCAAUUAACAUUACUUGCUACUGUACUGCAAUACAGAAAUGGAGGCGAUUUUAACCUUUCUUGAGUUUCCCGCUGAUCAAUUCAAUGCUUUCCAUUAGUUUAACUCCGGUUACCAUAAACUCAGAUUCAUUGUUCAGAAAACACUUCUUUUCUCUUGCACAGCAGAAUGUCCCCACCAUUGAGAAGCUCUGCAGAGUAGACUGAACUGGUUAAUGGGUAUUUGAAUCCAGGACUGACUUUUGUCCUUUGUAGCCUCCUCCAGCCUGAAGCAAGUUGAGCCAGACCUUGACUUUGCUGCCUUUAAGGAGAUUACCUAGGGUGGAGCCUUUCUCCCUAGAUCACUCUAUUGUUCAGCCAUUGCUGCUGUUCCCCUUCAAGACACUGCUACCUGCUGGGAGGCCGCUGAUCUAUUCUGGAGAUUACACACUAUCCUGCACAUCAUCACCUGCAGCUGGGCUCUAAGAAUGAAUUGGCAGUAAUGCCCCCCUCCCACUUUAUAAGCACAUUUGCCAUUAAACAUUUGAGCUUUGAUCAGGAAACUUGACUUAGCUCCAUUUUUCUCUCGACUGCCUAAUUUCCCCAUCUUUUUUCAGCCCUGGCUUGCCUCCCAGGUGUACCCCAUUUCUUGUGAGCCGCAGGCCGGCUUCCAAUAAUCCUUGUCCUAAUACUUCCUAGUAUGCAAAUUUAAAAAGGUGCAGCUUCUAGUCCACUGGCUUUCCUAGCUUCACAACCAUCUCUCUGCAUAGUUACUAUCAUUGGAGCACUUGUCACUUAUUCAAAUCUUAAGUUUUGUCAUAAAAACAUAUUAAGAUCUUUAGUCAGCAGAAAUUUCUUAUAGAUUCCACAAACCUAAAUAUUACAGAAAUUUUACAAGUGAAAAUAUUCAAUAGUGUCAUUGUUUUGAACUUACUGUUUACCUCGGUGCCCAGACCAAUGGUUUGCUAUUACUUUUAUGUUUCUAAGUAGUGUUUUCCUGUGCUUUGUCGCUUUCUAAUAGCAGAAGAACAGACCUCCAAACAGCCUCCCAGCAUCCACUGCAGGCCUUUCCAGAUCUUUGUGACUGUAUAUAAGAGUUUCCAUUGAGACCUGAAUGUCUUCUGCUAGCCAUAGCUUACACACUUGUUUACAGAAGUGAAUACCUGGAUACAAAAAAAUCUUUACAUAUUAAUUAUUCUUUCACAGUGAGUUAGAUCCAAGCAAAUGAUAGAGCUCUAGCACAUUUUGAAAGUCAAGUACAGCUUAUUUUGAAGAGCUACAUUCUAUAGGAAUUGGAAUUAGUAGGCACUACCUGGAGGAAAUAGUGAUUAGUCGAGCUGAAUUGUUAGGAAACACCUUUUAGAGGUUUCUAACCACUCCUUAAGACAAGCUUUUACAGAGUGUUACUGAUUAUAUUAAUCUCCCCAAACAAUCAAUCUCAUUGUUCACACAGUAUUGACUGGGAAAAGGACUAUUUAUGCUUGAUUGUGGGCCUGAAACAUAACUGUCCACGGCCACCAUAGCAGAAUGCAAGAUGAAUGGCUACAACAGGUGCCGCAGGGUUUCUUGCAAAUUAUAACUUUUCUUUUUUUAUUGGAUAUUUUCUUUAUUUACAUUUCAAAUGUCAUCCCCUUUCCUGGUUUCCCCUCUGAAAACCCCCUAUCACAUCUCCCCCCACACAUUGCUUUUAUGAGGGUGCUCCGCCACCCACCCACCCACUCCCACCUCACUGCUCUGAAAUUCCCCUACACUGGGACAUCAAACCUCCACAGGACCAAGUGCCUCUCCUCCCAUUGAUGCCAAAUAAGUCUAUCCUCUGUUACAUAUCCUGCUGGAGCCAUGGGUCUCUCUAUGUGUACUUUUUGGUUUAGUCCCUGCGAGUUCGCGAGGUUGAUAUUGUUGCUCUCCCUAUGGUGUUGCAGCUCCUUUAGUUCUUUCUAUAACUCCUCCAUUGGGAACCCCAUGCUCAGUCCAAUGGUUGGCUGAGAGCAUCCACCCUGUAUUUGUCAAGCUCUGGCAGAGCCUCUGAGGAGACAACUACAUCAGGCUCCUGUCAGCAAGCACUUUCUUGCCAUCUGCAAUAGUGUCUGAGUUUGGCGUCUGUAUAUGGGAUGGAUCCCCAGGUGGAACAGUCUCUGGAUGGCCUUUCUUUCAGUCUCGGCUCUACACUUUGUCCCUGUAUUUCCUUAGACAGAAGCAGUUCUGGGUUAAACAUUUGGAGAUGAGUGGGUGGCCACAUCCCGAAACUGGAGGGCUUGCUUAACCUCUGGAUAUGCUCUCUACAGGUUCUCCCUCCUCGUGGUUGUGCAUUUCAGCGAAUCUUACUUGUUUCAUUUUUUGACUCUUUAAGAGCUGUAAUUCUUCAACGUUCUCUGUGUUCUUCCUAUGUCUGUUUUCACUAUAUCAAACUGCCUCAGGAACGCAAGAACACAGCAUUGAUAAGUAAUUAUCUGUAAGUUGUUUGACAGUAAUAAGCUGGUAUUAUGAUAAUCAAGCUACUGUAAUGGCAUGGCAUACAGAUUGACAGAUUACAAUCCCCUUUUAUUUUACAUUUUAUUUUUAUUUUAUUUUUGCGUAAUUAUUUACUUUCCCCUUUGAAGAAAAAUCUACCAGUAUCUCUUUUUCCAAGUAGGAGGCAAAUAUAGCAUGCCUUUCUUCAGUGCAAUGUGAGAGAGCAUUCCAGGCAAAAGAGAAGAGAGAAAUAAAUAAAUAAAUAAGCAAUAAAUAAAUAAAUAAAUAAAUAAAUAAACAAACAAAUAAGCAAGCAAGAGGACACAUAGGUCAGAAAGCGCUUCAGGGAUAAGCAUUCAAACCAAAAAUAUUCCCAAGAUUAGCAGCAAGUGAAGCAGAUAAUCGGCACUUUGCUGAGUGCUAGGCGGAGAACAGUACAAGCCCCGGUGGUAAAAAGACAUGUUUCCUCGGCAAGCAAAAUCUCUCCAGUCCUGGCAUUCUACUUGCUGGUCUUUGACCUUGCAUAAAUUAUUUAACCACUAUGAAUUCUUUUCAAAAAUGUGUGGGAGGAAAGGAAAAAAUUAAGAAAACUGUAUUGCCUCAUAGGAUUAAAGUAAGAAUCAAACGAAGUUGCCCAUAUAUAAUCUUGAAAGCCAUGGCAUUGAUUACAAAGGGCUCAGUAAGUAUUUUCUUGUACUACCAUCAUU
rnacentral:lncRNA from 1 species